GCCACAUGCGGCCAUUGCCGGCUCACGUAGGUUCGUUCGCGUGGUCUUGUUACGCCUCGCUGGAUCGUGUUCAGUCAUGCCGUCCUUGCGCGGCGUGAUUGUCGGCGAGUCAGGUUAAAUUCUUAAAUAGGUCGCGCCUGCGCCUAAUUGAGUCUAUAAAAGCCUGCACAUUCAGUUUUGCUAGCUACAAUGCAGUGCGGCUGGCGUGAGCUGUCUCCACGAUGCGCUUCGAGCGUGUCGAUUUCGCCGUUCUUUAUGUUGGCGUUAACGACCUUGAAAGCAACAUGGAUCCACAAGAAAUGUGCGACAACAUCAAGGCCUUGAUUGUUCAACGAGACGGCCCCCGUCGUGCUGGUUUUCAAGGUGCUCCCUCGCUGCCUAGAAGAUGCUGAUGCGGAAUAGAAAAUGCAAAAACGUCGCUUGCUCAACCGCAAAUUGACGGCUACGCUGAAGCGCAUGCCGUGUCUGCGGAAUUUGAACCCCGAGCUUUCCAGAGUUCCUUGGAAAAUCCUCCCAUGCACCUGCCAUGUACAUUGCCCUCCUCCUCGAUGUGGCGUGCAAGAUGGCAGCAGCAGCUGUGGGAACAGUUGAAGAGGCGAAGAAAGGUCCACUUUAUAAUAGGUUGUAUGUAAAUAAAACUGAUCGACCUCAA